UACAGAGGGGGCAAGCGUUGUUCGGAAUUAUUGGGCGUAAAGGGUGCGUAGGCGGUUUGGUAAGUCUGAUGUGAAAUCUAUGGGCUCAACUCAUAGUCUGCAUCGGAAACUGCCGGGCUUGAGUAUGGGAGAGGUGAGUGGAAUUCCUGGUGUAGCGGUGAAAUGCGUAGAUAUCAGGAGGAACACCUGUGGCGAAAGCGGCUCACUGGACCAUAACUGACGCUGAUGCACGAAAGCUAGGGGAGCAAACAGG
rnacentral:rRNA from 1 species